rnacentral:rRNA from 1 species
AAUAGAUACCCUGGUAGUCCAUGCCGUAAACGAUGUCUACUAGCCGUUGGGGCCUUUGAGGCUUUAGUGGCGCAGCUAACGCGAUAAGUAGACCGCCUGGGGAGUACGGUCGCAAGACUAAAACUCAAAUGAAUUGACGGGGGCCCGCACAAGCGGUGGAGCAUGUGGUUUAAUUCGAUGCAACGCGAAGAACCUUACCUGGCCUUGACAUACUAAGAACUUUCCAGAGAUGGAUUGGUGCCUUCGGGAACUUAGAUACAGGUGCUGCAUGGCUGUCGUCAGCUCGUGUCGUGAGAUGUUGGGUUAAGUCCCGCAACGAGCGCAACCCUUUUCCUACUUGCCAGCAUUUCGGAUGGGAACUUUAAGGAUACUGCCAGUGACAAACUGGAGGAAGGCGGGGACGACGUCAAGUCAUCAUGGCCCUUAGGCCAGGGCUACGACACGUGCUACAAUGGUCGGUACAAAGGGUUGCUACUGCGCGAGCAGAUGCUAAUCUCAAAAAGCCGAUCGUAGUCCGGAUCGCAGU